rnacentral:rRNA from 1 species
UACGUAGGGUGCGAGCGUUGUCCGGAAUUAUUGGGCGUAAAGAGCUCGUAGGCGGUGUGUCACGUCGUUCGUGAAAACCUGCAGCUUAACUGUGGGCGUGCGGUCGAUACGGGCAUCACUGGAGUUCGGCAGGGAGACUGGAAUUCCUGGUGUAGCGGUGAAAUGCGCAGAUAUCAGGAGGAACACCGGUGGCGAAGGCGGGUCUCUGGGCCUUACCUGACGCUCAGGUGCGAAAGCUAGGGGGGAGCGAACAGG